rnacentral:rRNA from 1 species
GUCCACGCCGUAAACGAUGAGAACUAGGUGUUGCGGGUAUUGACCCCUGCAGUGCCGCAGCUAACGCAUUAAGUUCUCCGCCUGGGAAGUACGGUCGCAAGACUAAAACUCAAAGGAAUUGACGGGGCCCGCACAAGCGGUGGAGCAUGUGGUUUAAUUCGACGCAACGCGCAGAACCUUACCUGGUCUUGACAUCUAUGGAACCUUCGUGAAAGCGAGGGGUGCCUUUCGGGGAGCCAUAAGACAGGUGCUGCAUGGCUGUCGU